rnacentral:rRNA from 1 species
UACGAAGGGGGCUAGCGUUGCUCGGAACCACUGGGCGUAAAGGGUGCGUAGGCGGGUUUUUAAGUCAGGGGUGAAAUCCUGGAGCUCAACUCCAGAACUGCCUUUGAUACUGAAGAUCUUGAGUCCGGGAGAGGUGAGUGGAACUGCGAGUGUAGAGGUGAAAUUCGUAGAUAUUCGCAAGAACACCAGUGGCGAAGGCGGCUCACUGGCCCGGUACUGACGCUGAGGCACGAAAGCGUGGGGAGCAAACAGG